UACGUAGGUGGCGAGCGUUGUCCUGAUUUACUGGGCGUAAAGGGCGUGCAGGCGGUUUGUUAAGUUCAGGGUGAAAGCUCCCGGCUCAACUGGGAGAGGUCCUUGCAUACUGGCGAACUCGAGGGAGGCAGAGGAAAGUGGAAUUCCCGGUGUAGUGGUGAUAUGCGUAGAUAUCGGGAGGAACACCUGUGGCGAAGGCGGCUUUCUGGGCCUUACCUGACGCUGAGACGCGAAAGCGUGGGGAGCGAACCGG
rnacentral:rRNA from 1 species